rnacentral:rRNA from 1 species
UGGAUCCAGACUUUGAUUCUGGCUCAGGAUGAACGCUAGCUACAGGCUUAACACAUGCAAGUCGAGGGGCAGCAUUUCAGUUUGCUUGCAAACUGGAGAUGGCGACCGGCGCACGGGUGAGUAACACGUAUCCAACCUGCCGAUAACUCGGGGAUAGCCUUUCGAAAGAAAGAUUAAUACCCGAUAGUAUAAUGAAACCGCAUGGUCUUAUUAUUAAAGAAUUUCGGUUAUCGAUGGGGAUGCGUUCCAUUAGGCAGUUGGUGAGGUAACGGCUCACCAAACCUUCGAUGGAUAGGGGUUCUGAGAGGAAGGUCCCCCACAUUGGAACUGAGACACGGUCCAAACUCCUACGGGAGGCAGCAGUGAGGAAUAUUGGUCAAUGGGCGCAGGCCUGAACCAGCCAAGUAGCGUGAAGGAUGACUGCCCUAUGGGUUGUAAACUUCUUUUAUAUGGGAAUAAAGUUUUCCACGUGUGGAAUUUUGUAUGUACCAUAUGAAUAAGGAUCGGCUAACUCCGUGCCAGCAGCCGCGGUAAUACGGAGGAUCCGAGCGUUAUCCGGAUUUAUUGGGUUUAAAGGGAGCGUAGGUGGACAGUUAAGUCAGUUGUGAAAGUUUGCGGCUCAACCGUAAAAUUGCAGUUGAUACUGGCUGUCUUGAGUACAGUAGAGGUGGGCGGAAUUCGUGGUGUAGCGGUGAAAUGCUUAGAUAUCACGAAGAACUCCGAUUGCGAAGGCAGCUCACUGGACUGCAACUGACACUGAUGCUCGAAAGUGUGGGUAUCAAACAGGAUUAGAUACCCUGGUAGUCCACACAGUAAACGAUGAAUACUCGCUGUUUGCGAUAUACAGUAAGCGGCCAAGCGAAAGCAUUAAGUAUUCCACCUGGGGAGUACGCCGGCAACGGUGCAACUCAAAUGAAUUGACGGA